rnacentral:rRNA from 1 species
ACACUCCUGCGGGAGGCAGCAGUGGGGAAUUUUGGACAAUGGGCGAAAGCCUGAUCCAGCCAUGCCGCGUGCAGGAUGAAGGCCUUCGGGUUGUAAACUGCUUUUGUACGGAACAAAACGGCCUUUUCUAAUAAAGAGGGCUAAUGACGGUACCGUAAGAAUAAGCACCGGCUAACUACGUGCCAGCAGCCGCGGUAAUACGUAGGGUGCAAGCGUUAAUCGGAAUUACUGGGCGUAAAGCGUGCGCAGGCGGUUAUGUAAGACAGUUGUGAAAUCCCCGGGCUCAACCUGGGAACUGCAUCUGUGACUGCAUAGCUAGAGUACGGUAGAGGGGGAUGGAAUUCCGCGUGUAGCAGUGAAAUGCGUAGAUAUGCGGAGGAACACCGAUGGCGAAGGCAAUCCCCUGGACCUGUACUGACGCUCAUGCACGAAAGCGUGGGGAGCAAACAGGAUUAGAUACCCCUGUAGUCCCAUGAU